GAGUAUAGAUAGCAUGAGAUGUGUGGUGUUGUACAAAGCAGAAGGUAGACAAGUUUGAGCCACAUAUCCAAGAAUGAUGGUAGACAAUGAUUGCACAUAUUUAUAUUUUGUUGGAACCUAUUUUCAUUCUGGCAAAACUAAAAGCAUCAUGGUUCUUCGAAUGGUGAAAAUAUGUACAAGGUAAUUGACAACAUAAUUUCC
rnacentral:lncRNA from 1 species